rnacentral:rRNA from 1 species
ACGCCAGACUCCUACGGGAGGCAGCAGUGAGGAAUAUUGGUCAAUGGCCGAGAGGCUGAACCAGCCAAGUCGCGUGAGGGAUGACGGCCCUACGGGUUGUAAACCUCUUUUGUCGGGGAGCAAAGAGAGUCACGUGUAGCUCAUUGAGAGUACCCGAAGAAAAAGCAUCGGCUAACUCCGUGCCAGCAGCCGCGGUAAUACGGAGGAUGCGAGCGUUAUCCGGAUUUAUUGGGUUUAAAGGGUGCGCAGGCGGAGGUGCAAGUCAGUGGUCAAAUUGCGGGGCUCAACCCCGUACUGCCGUUGAAACUGCAUCCCUUGAGUGCGCGAGAAGUAUGCGGAAUGCGUGGUGUAGCGGUGAAGUGCAUAGAUAUCACGCAGAACUCCGAUUGCGAAGGCAGCAUACCGGCGCGCAACUGACGCUCAUGCACGAAAGCGUGGGUAUCGAACAGGAUUAGAUACCCGCGUAAC